GUCUCUAAGCAAUGGAUGUCUUGGCUCCUCACACGAUGAAGAACGUGGCAUAAUGUGUUAAGUAACCGGAGUUGCAAACAUCAUGACAGGUUAAUCUUUGAAUGCAAAUUGCGCUAAACUCGAUCUCGGUCGAGAAGCAUGGGUGUGACAGUAAUA
rnacentral:rRNA from 1 species